AUAAGCGGAGGAAAAGAAACCACCAGGGAUUGCCCUAGUAACGGCGAGUGAAGCGGCAACAGCUCAAAUUUGAAAUCUGGCUUUCUCGGAGGCCCGAGUUGUAAUUUGCAGAGGGUGCUUUGGCAUCGGCAGCGGUCUAAGUUCCUUGGAACAGGACGUCAUAGAGGGUGAGAAUCCCGUACGUGGCCGCCAGCCUUCGCCGUGUAAAGCCCCUUCGACGAGUCGAGUUGUUUGGGAAUGCAGCUCUAAAUGGGAGGUAAAUUUCUUCUAAAGCUAAAUACCGGCCAGAGACCGAUAGCGCACAAGUAGAGUGAUCGAAAGAUGAAAAGCACUUUGGAAAGAGAGUCAAACAGCACGUGAAAUUGUUGAAAGGGAAGCGCUUGCCGCCAGACGUGCCCGUGGUGGUUCUCCUCCGCGGGCAGGCCAGCAUCAGUUUGGGCGAUCGGAAAAUGGCCUCUGUCAUGUAUCUCCCUUCGGGGUGACCUUAUAGGGGAGGCGUAAUGCGAUCAGCCCGGACUGAGGACCGCGCAUCUGCUAGGAUGCUGGCGUAAUGGCUGUAA
rnacentral:rRNA from 1 species